UUAACUUUAAAGAUGGACGCCCCUCGAGAGAGGAGAGACAACCCCAACAGAGGUCAACUGUUACCAGUGCUCAUUCUGUACAGCAGCAUCAAACAGAGCUGAUCAAGAGGGCUGAGGAGAACGCACAUGCUUUUCUAGACAAGGAGC